GAGGUGAGUGUGGGGUCGGAUUCUUCUCCUGAGGCGUCCGAGUUUCGCGUCCGACCCAUCCCGGCGGGUCUCGGCGCUGGUCCCCUGCCUCGCCGCCAGAUGAUGUCAUCCCGGGCUGGUACCGCGGCCCUUUGACGUUUUAUUUAGUCAUGGCAACGGUAGCCUGUUCUCUGGGAUCAACGUCUUCAGUUUAAAGAGCUGCAGUCGCUUCUGUCUCUGUGUUUUACGCUGCGUUCUUUUGGCCGAAAUAUUUUAAUUUGUGCAUCGGGUCGUAGAACAACUGAAGGAGAGGUCUGUGUGGUCACAGCUGCACAGGAAACAGGAAAUGGCAUUCACGGCCACAGCUGUCCUGGCCUUGCGGGCUGGGCAGAAGCCAAUUCUAACGGCGAAGUAAAACCGUAAGCAACAGCGAGUGGGAACGGGGAGUGAUGAGUUCCGCCAGUCACAGCGGUGGCUUUAUGAAAUUCCUUGGAGGAGUGGUCCUGGAGCGCCAUGAACCAAAAGGCUCUGCCGCGUGAAUUCCUACUAAAGAAUAAAAAUACCAUAUUAAGCUAAUCUUUUGGAAGGCUUUAGCUUGCGGGGCUGUCUGAGGGGAAAUCGCACGACAGCUUGCUUGGCCUUUAGGAGGGAACAGAUCUAGUUGAGGAACAUGGGAGAGGCGGCUGCUUAGGUGUUUCGGACUGCGAUUCAGUUUGUGAGGCAGCAGUAGGAGAAGGGGUGUAACUGGAGUGGCCGUGGUGAAACCCUGUCCAAAAUCACCUUCACUGUGCAGAAGUUGGAGGUGGUCUAACCUACGGGACUGCGACAAUCCUGGAGAAAAUCACUCGCUGGAGGAGCCUCCCUGGCUUAGCUGGGGUGUCUGUCACCUGCCAAAUAAAGAAGCUGGAACAGCCUAUCCACAGCAAACCUGACAAGUACGCUAGAUCUCCGCUACGUCGCGAGCGUGUGGUUGAAGAUGCGCAUUCAGACGUCUCUUCCCACGCGCAGAACACGGUAUUUAAUCGACUCGCCCCCUGGAGAGAAGCGUUACUGCAGUGCAUUGUAUUUCACAAGCGGUGAUACGUAUUCAAUAAGAACACAAGAAUUCACCCUGUGGAAAUGGGCUUCACAAUCACCGUGCCCGUGAGCCACCCCCUGGGCGUCACGGGUCAGUUCGUGCCUUUGUGCAGGGCGAUGCUGGGAAGGCCCUUCCAGUAGAAUGUGAAGACGACGACUUUGACUAUGUCCACUGAAGUACCUGCAGCCAAAGGACGAGAGUGAAUACCUGCUUGCCUGCACGUCACCUAGUGACACUCGCGUAGCUGUCUACGAACAGCCGGAAUUGAGCACAAAGUGUAUAUUCAGUCCUUAAACGUUGCAGGAAGUGUCCGUUACGGAUGUUUUGAAGGAAGCCCAUGGCACCAGGGUAGCACGUGAAAGCUCAAUCUUGUAUUACCUCAUUUUGCUCUCUUUCUCUUACGUAAAAGCAUUUAAAGCAGAUGAAAACAUCUGGUGUACUAAGAAAAACCUGCAGUGGAGGCAGCACAGUAGUCAGACCCCUUGGAAGAAAGCACCUUGUCAUUUGCUUGAGUGCUCAGUACAAGUUUUAUCAGACAAGGGUGAAUCACAGGCUGCUUUUUUACCCUGGGGAGCAGGGAGUUCCCACUCUUAGACAACAUGUUUUGUCUUACUAAAGUUUUGGCAGCUCAGCUUGAAGGUGGGUACUGAUCAACAGUGACAAUUCUGUGGGGUCACUGUGUGACUUAAUUAAGUGCAAUAGCUGCAGUAACGAAGCCAACUAAACAGUGCAUAGGUGAUGAAGCUGUUUUAGCCUUUUUCUAAUGAUAACGGCACUUAGGCUGUGAUCACAAUUGGAAAAGUCCAGAUAUUUUUGGAGCUGAGCAAGUCUGUCUAGCUUGUUCUCUGUACUACUGCGAAAGGUGAUCAGAGUACUGGUACCUUCAUGUUUUUGUCUCUGUGCAAACACCCCUUACUGCUCAAUACAAAAACCAGGGCAGGCUGUCAAGGAAAUAGCGUAGCUAGAUCUCUUUUGGCGAUUUACUGUGUGUAACAAUCGUAAAAGCAAGAGGUUGACAGUCCAAAGAAGUACGAUUGCUUGUUCAGUGGUUGCAGAUUGUCUCAUGCAGUAGUGUUGCUAUUUCUGUACAGUCCCUGAGCUGUAAUUCUUGUAGCUUUAGAGCCUUUUGGAUUGUUGAAGUGAAAGUUUUGCCAAUAAAGCUUCUAGCAUUAAGAACUUGAGUAUACAGUGUACAGAAUCUGUGUAGCGGAAGGCACUUUAUAAAUAACGAUAGCUCAGAUUAGGUGCUGGCAGUAAGUGAAUGCUGGCAUUGUGCAGCUAAAUUAUAAACGUACUCAGUUCCAAAAUUUGAGACAAAUUUCUCUCUUGUAAGAAUAUCAGGGAAUUAGAAGGAUUUUAUCAGAAUAAUCUGACUUUGUACAUUUUUCUUUGAAAAUGUGCUUUUAAAAUAGGGGAGGUGUACAGAAGGAAGGGGGGUGGGGGAGAAAAAACAUUUUAUUCUGCUCCCCCUUCAAAAAUGAACAGAGAGCAGCUAUCUAGUAGCAGCAGCUUGUAAUAAGUGAUUAUGCAAAACAACGUAUUGUCACUUUCCACCAACUGCUAAACAGCAUAGUACUUUUCAAAACAUAAAUUUGGCAAAGAGGCUUGCUUGUACGCUGUUUCACAGCUAAUCACACCUUUAAUUUUUUCUGCUUAAUUGGGACAUCUAAGAGUUCAGCAAGAGAAACGAAGAGGUGAAAUACCUCUAAAUUCCCAUGGCAAAGGUGGACCUUGGCACGUUGUCACGGAACGCAAAGUCAUUAUCGCAGCUGCUACUGAAAUAUAUUUUGCAUUAAUGUAAAAUGAAUAUAGCACAGAGCCAGACAAAACUACAGAGCUGUACAAUUUCAGGUUCAAGGUCUGACAAGGGUGUUGUACUAGAUGUUUGAAAGGAGCAAAUAUGAAAAGGAAGUGGGGUGGAUGUUUUCUUGACGUCUUUCCCAGUCUUAAAAGGAGACACGUAAAACCAUUCUUCAUGUCUUCUGUGUUGGCUCUUAAAAGCCUUAAAUAAUGGGGGGAAAAAAAGGCUUAAAGCUUAAAAGCCUGAAAUCCUCUGGGACAAUCACUUCCGUUCCAACACCGUUAAAUAGUUAGGGGUCAUUUUGCCAGAGUGAAAGUUGUUGAAGUAUUUUGAUUGUACAAUUUCUGCUUUUUAAAUUAAACUAAUAGUAAUUUAGGUUACUUGUCUAAGGAGAAGGGUGAGGAACCUCCUAGCAGUCUACCAGCCUGUUACUUACUGUGUAUCAUUCAGCUUUGUAAAAUAAAUAACCCCAUGCACCAG